rnacentral:rRNA from 1 species
AUUGAACGCUGGCGGCAGGCUUAACACAUGCAAGUCGAACGGUAACAUAAAGAAGCUUGCUUCUUUGAUGACGAGUGGCGGACGGGUGAGUAAUGCUUGGGAAUCUAGCUUAUGGAGGGGGAUAACUACGGGAAACUGUAGCUAAUACCGCGUAAUAUCGAAAGAUUAAAGUGUGGGACCUUCGGGCCACAUGCCAUAGGAUGAGCCCAAGUGGGAUUAGGUAGUUGGGGAGGUAAAGGCUCACCAAGCCGACGAUCUCUAGCUGGUCUGAGAGGAUGACCAGCCACACUGGGACUAAGAAACGGCCCAGACUCCUACGGGAGGCAGCAGUGGGGAAUAUUGCGCAAUGGGGGCAACCCUGACGCAGCCAUGCCGCGUGAAUGAAGAAGGCCUUCGGGUUGUAAAGUUCUUUCGGUAGCGAGGAAGGCACUUAGUUUAAUAGACUAGGUGAUUGACGUUAACUACAGAAGAAGCACCGGCUAACUCCGUGCCAGCCGCCGCCGUAA